AACCCUGAGCAGUGGAUCACUCGGGUCGAUGAAGAACGCAGCUUGCUGCGAUAUUUGGUGUGAAUUGCAGGACACAUUGAACGUCUAAACUUUCGAACGCGUAUGGUGGUCUCAGUUUUUUCGGAAUUUGAGGCCUCACCUGUUUGAUGGUCGGAUCUGACCUAAACUUACUAUUCGGAGUGGUCCAUUGACCUCUUCAGAAACUCAGUUUCCGUCGGCUCGAGUACCCAAGGACUUCCGAGCAGUGGGACUCGGUCUCGAGUGGCUGGUGGCCGAAGGAACCUUUCCCCAGCAAGGCCACCCUCUGGCGUAUUCGGCUGCUCGCACGGGAAGAGUGCCCAAGAAUCAGAGGAGGUACCUUAGAAUUUGAAAAACUGAAACUCUACGUCAUGUAGACGAGACAUCCCGCUAAAUUUAACCAUAUCAAUAAGCGGAGGGGAAAAAACAAUAGUGAUUCCCCUAGUAGCGGCGAGUGAAAAAGGAAGAGCCCAGUGCUGAAUCCCUGCCUAGAGGUGGGAAAUUUGGACUAAGGGAGAGUCGGGAGUGUGGGCAAUGAGUGCGCGGGAAGUCCUCAAGAGCGGGUCAACUUCCCGAGAGGGUGUAAGGCCCGUUCUCGCGCGCCGCCGCUCGCUCUCAGUUUUCCCAAGAGUCUGGUUGUUUGGGAGUGCAGCCCUAAAAUGUGUAGUAAACUCAAGACAAUACGAUCGUUAGACCGAUAGCAAACAAGUACCGUGAGAGAAAAUUGAAAAGAAUUUUGAAGAGAGUUCAAUAGAAGGUGAAACUGCUGAGGGGGAAACGAGUACUCCCUCAAAGUCCAGUGUCCGGGAUAUUCAGCCCUGGUUCCGUAUCGCCGAAGCGUUCACGGUGGGGAUGCACUCCCCGCCAUCAGGAGAUGCGAGAUCCAGGUGCACUCGUCCCUUUCCAGAGGACGCCACACUCCGUUUCCAUUCUAAUCUAUCGAGUGGACCGUGAGGGUGGAAAACUAAGAGCGCACUCCUCUAUACCCUUUCGCCCGGGUCUGCGGGGGACGGUCUCGACUGACGCCUGGUUCAGAUAUUUAUUUAUAAUUCCUCUGCGGUGAGGAAAGUCUCGGGUAGCCAUGCACACGUUCUUCUGACCGUGGCCGGUGGCCUCGCCUGUGCCCUCUGGGGUGUGAGAGGCAGACGGAGUUGCGGCGAAGCAGGUCGGUGCGCCACCUGACCCGUCUUGAAACGCGGAUCAAGGAGUCUAACAUGUGGCGAGUCGCUGGGUCUCGCUGAAGCCCACGUGCACAAAGAAAUUUAUUAAGUCGGGAUCCUCCGCUUUGGGCGAGAGGUGUCCUGACUGCCCGUUCAAUCAAACUCUGUUUGGGUGGACGGCUCCUGAGCACACACAUUGGGACCCGAAAGAUGAUAAACUAUACUUGGACAAGACAAAGACAGGGGAAUCUCUGUUGGAAGCCCUCCGAAGCGGUUCUGAGUGCAAAUCGAUCGUCUGGUUCGUGUAUAGAGCCGAAAAACUAAUUAAACCAUCUAGUAGCUGGUUCCCUCCGAAGUUUCCCUAAGGAUAGUGGCACUCGGUCGAAAUUUAGUCACGAUCGGUAAAGCGAAUGAUUAGAAUUCUAGAUAAGAAUGAUUGGGGCCGAAACUAUCUUAACCUAUUCUCAUACUUUCAAUGGUCGUAGAGACUUUUGUAACUCAAGUGAAGUUUGGACGUUGUUUUAUAGAACCUAGUGGGUCACUUUUGGUAAGCAGAAUUGGCGCUGUGAGAUGAACCAAACGUCGGGUUAAGGCGCCCGAUGCAGAGAUGCUCAUGAGACCCUAUAAGAGGUGUUGGUUGCUCUAGACAGCAGGAGAGUGACCAUGGGAGUUGGUAUCCACCAAGAAGUGUGUAAUAACUCACUUUCCAAAGCAACUAACCCUGAAAAUGGAUGGCACUCCAGCGUCGAGCCCAUACCAGGCUGGUGCUCAUGAAUAUUAUAAAGUUUGUAGCGCCACAUAGGAAGGCAGUGAGUGAGAGCCUGCCUGGAGCCUCCACCGGUGCAGAUCUUGGUGGUAGUAGCAAAUACUCAAGUGAGAAUCUUGAAGACUGAAGCUGGAGAAGGGUUCCAUGUCAACAGCGUUUGAACAUGGAUGAAUCGGUCCAGAAUCAUUGGGGAGAUAUGUAUUUAAUUAGAAACAUUAUAUGAAGUCCUUACACCGACGAAAGUUGAUCGGGUUAAGAUUCCCGAACUUGACACGAAAUACUAGAGACCCCGGUCUCUGAUGAGGUAAGGCAAACGAACUCUGAGAUGACCGUGGAGGAACCAGUGAAGAGAUACGAUUAUUUUCUUCGAAAGAUGUUCGAAGUCCCUGAAAAAGCAUCAUGAUCACAUAGGGACAGGCGGCCUUGAAAGAGCACCUCGUUUCAUGAGUUGUGCCUGGGACCCCUUUACGGGCCCUUGUAAAUCCGAGAUAGAGACUAUGAUUUUCGUGCCGGACCGUACCUAUAUCCGCAUCAGGUCUCCAAGGUGAACAGCCUCUAGUUACUAGAACAAUGUAGGUAAGAGAAGUCAGCAAAUCCGAUCGGCAAAUUCGGGAUAAGGAUUGGCUCUGGGGGCUUCGUUCGUCGAACUGUAUCUCGGAAGCCUGGCUGGCUUUCCGUUCGGAAUGGGUUCGUUCUCGGACUGAUAUGUUUCUGCCGGGCGGAAGUAUGCAGUUUGGAAGCUUCUCCUCUUUCGUUAAGGGAGUUGUGCUGACGACGGACGUCAAGAGGCCGACUCGGAACUGGCACGAAUCCUGGGAAUCCGACUAUCUAAUUAAAACAAAGCAUUGCAAUGGCCUGCGAGAGGUGCUGACGCAAUGUGAUUUCUGCCCAGUGCUCCGAAUGUCAAAGAAAAGAAAUUCAAUGAAACUAGGAUAAACGGUGGGAAUAACUAUGACCCUCUUUUUUUAAGGUAGCCAAAUGCUUCGUCAUCUAAUUAGUGACUCGCAUGAAUGGAUUAACGAAAUUCACAACUUUCCCUAUCUACU